AUUGAACGCUGGCGGAAUGCUUUACACAUGCAAGUCGAACGGCAGCACGGGGGCAGCCCUGGUGGCGAGUGGCGAACGGGUGAGUAAUACAUCGGAACGUGCCCGGUCGUGGGGGAUAACGUAGCGAAAGUUACGCUAAUACCGCAUACGAUCUGAGGAUGAAAGCGGGGGACCUUCGGGCCUCGCGCGAUCGGAGCGACCGAUGUCAGAUUAGGUAGGUGGUGGGGUAAAGGCCUACCAAGCCGACGAUCUGUAGCUGGUCUGAGAAGACGACAAGCCACACUGGGACUGAGACACGGCCCAGGCUCCUACGGGAGGCAGCAGUGGGGAAUUUUGGGCAAUGGGCGGAAGCCUGAUCCAGCCAUUCCGCGUGCAGGACGAAGGCCUUCGGGUUGUGAACUGCUUUUGUACGGAACGAAAAGGCUCUGGCUAAUACCUGGGGCUCAUGACGGUACCGGAAGAAUAAGCACCGGCUAACUACGUG
rnacentral:rRNA from 1 species